CCUACGGGAGGCAGCAGUAGGGAAUCUUCCGCAAUGGACGAAAGUCUGACGGAGCAACGCCGCGUGAGUGAUGAAGGCUUUCGGGUCGUAAAACUCUGUUGUUAGGGAAGAACAAGUGCUAGUUGAAUAAGCUGGCACCUUGACGGUACCUAACCAGAAAGCCACGGCUAACUACGUGCCAGCAGCCGCGGUAAUACGUAGGUGGCAAGCGUUAUCCGGAAUUAUUGGGCGUAAAGCGCGCGCAGGUGGUUUCUUAAGUCUGAUGUGAAAGCCCACGGCUCAACCGUGGAGGGUCAUUGGAAACUGGGAGACUUGAGUGCAGAAGAGGAAAGUGGAAUUCCAUGUGUAGCGGUGAAAUGCGUAGAGAUGUGGAGGAACACCAGUGGCGAAGGCGACUCUCUGGUCUGUAACUGACGCUGAGGAGCGAAAGCGUGGGGAGCGAACAGGAUUAGAUACCCUGGUAGUCCACGCCGUAAACGAUGAGUGCUAAGUGUUAGGGGGUUUCCGCCCCUUAGUGCUGCAGCUAACGCAUUAAGCACUCCGCCUGGGGAGUACGGCCGCAAGGCUGAAACUCAAAGGAAUUGACGGA
rnacentral:rRNA from 1 species